GCGCCUGUGGUGUAAUUGGUAGCCACGCCAGACUUAGGAUCUGGUGUCGAGAGACGUGUAGGUUCGAGUCCUAUCAGGCGCA
rnacentral:tRNA from 2 species